AAGGAGGCGAAAAGUUAAGGGAAAGAUAAUAGCCAAAUCUCCUUUUCCCCAAACCGCAUUUUUCGCCAUUGUUGGUGUUGAAUCUGCUUGGCAAACUGGAGAUCGAACGUACCAUACAGAGAGGGUUUUCGGCCUUCCGCCGAUUAAUCUGAAGCUUUCAAUCGCGAGUUCAACCCCAACAGAUCUCAUGGAAAUCCCCUCUAUUCCUGAGGAUCUCAACGGCUAACGUAGGAACCUUCCAUUAUAUAAUGUCAUAGGCUAUCAUAAGAUCUGUUCAGGUGAAGAGGUUGAGCUCACCGCCGAAGACCAGGCACGUUGCCAACAACUCAAUUGGGAUUUGCUUGAAAUGCAGUGAAUGUUGCAACGUCUUACCUCGCUGACAAUAGCCGUUUCCGCCGGGGUGGCGACUGCGAAGAUGAUGAAUCCGAAAGAGACCCGGUGAGCUCUCACUGUUGAGAUAUCACACGAAGACCAG
rnacentral:sRNA from 1 species